rnacentral:rRNA from 1 species
CCUACGGGAGGCAGCAGUGAGGAAUAUUGGUCAAUGGGAGAGAGCCUGAACCAGCCAAGCCGCGUGAGGGAAGACGGUACUGUGGAUUGUAAACCUCUUUUGUCGGAGAACAAAACCCGGGACGUGUCCCGGACUGCGUGUAUCCGAAGAAAAAGCAUCGGCUAACUCCGUGCCAGCAGCCGCGGUAAUACGGAGGAUGCGAGCGUUAUCCGGAUUUAUUGGGUUUAAAGGGUGCGUAGGCGGUCUGUUAAGUCAGCGGUAAAAUUGCGGGGCUCAACCCCGGCGCGCCGUUGAAACUGGCAGACUUGAGUUGGCGAGAAGUAUGCGGAAUGCGCGGUGUAGCGGUGAAAUGCAUAGAUAUCGCGCAGAACUCCGAUUGCGAAGGCAGCAUGCCGGCGCCAGACUGACGCUGAGGCACGAAAGCGUGGGGAUCGAACAGGAUUAGAUACCCGGGUAGUC